CUAAUCAUGCAAGUUGAGCGCGGGAAGCAGACAGAAGCCUUCGGGCGGACGUCUGUGGAACGAGCGGCGGAUGGGUGAGUAACACGUGGGUAACCUGCCUGUAAGCCUGGGAUAACUCGCGGAAACGCGAGCUAAUACCGGAUGACACGAAAGUUCGCAUGAACUUUUGUUGAAAGGCGGCUUCGGCUGUCACUUACAGAUGGGCCCGCGGCGCAUUAGCUAGUUGGUGGGGUAACGGCUCACCAAGGCGACGAUGCGUAGCCGACCUGAGAGGGUGAUCGGCCACACUGGGACUGAGACACGGCCCAGACUCCUACGGGAGGCAGCAGUAGGGAAUCUUCCGCAAUGGACGAAAGUCUGACGGAGCAACGCCGCGUGAACGAAGAAGGUUUUCGGAUCGUAAAGUUCUGUUGUUAGGGAAGAACAAGUACCGUUUGAAUAAGGCGGUACCUUGACAGUACCUAUCGAGAAAGCCCCGGCUAACUACGUGCCAGCAGCCGCGGUAAUACGUAGGGGGCAAGCGUUGUCCGGAUUUAUUGGGCGUAAAGGGCGCGCAGGCGGUUUCUUAAGUCUGAUGUGAAAUCUCGUGGCUUAACCACGAGCGGUCGUUGGAAACUGGGAAACUUGAGUACAGAAGAGGAGAGUGGAAUUCCACGUGUAGCGGUGAAAUGCGUAGAGAUGUGGAGGAACACCAGUGGCGAAGGCGG
rnacentral:rRNA from 1 species